rnacentral:rRNA from 1 species
GAUGAACGUUGGCGGUGUGCCUAAUACAUGCAAGUCGAACGGAGACUGUAGCAAUACUGUCUUAGUGGCGAACGGGUGAGUAACGCGUUGGUGAUCUGCCUCGAAGUGUGGAAUAACCUCCCGAAAGGGAAGCUAAUACCGCAUAGUCUCUCAAGGUUUAGAAAAUUGAGAGUAAAGGAUUUAUUCGCUUCGAGAGGAGCCUGCGUCCCAUCAGCUAGUUGGUAGGGUAACGGCCUACCAAGGCAAUGACGGGUAGGGGACCUGAGAGGGUGGCCCCCCACAAUGGAACUGAAACACGGUCCAUACACCUACGGGUGGCAGCAGUAAGGAAUAUUAGAAAUGGGCGGAAGCCUGAUCUAGCAACACCGCGUGUGCGAUGAAGGCCUUCGGGUCGUAAAGCACUUUUUGGAGGGAAUAGGAAGGAAGGUACCUCCAGAAUAAGUCUCGGCUAACUACGUG